rnacentral:rRNA from 1 species
GCUAAUCUGCGAUAAGCGCCGGUAAGGUGAUAUGAACCGUUAUAACCGGCGAUACCCGAAUGGGGAAACCCAGUGUGACUCGUCACACUAUCAUUAACUGAAUCCAUAGGUUAAUGAGGCGAACCGGGGGAACUGAAACAUCUAAGUACCCCGAGGAAAAGAAAUCAACCGAGAUUCCCCCAGUAGCGGCGAGCGAACGGGGAGGAGCCCAGAGCCUGAAUCAGCAUGUGUGUUAGUGGAAGCGUCUGGAAAGGCGCGCGAUACAGGGUGACAGCCCCGUACACAAAAGCGCAUGUGCUGUGAGCUCGAUGAGUAGGGCGGGACACGUGGUAUCCUGUCUGAAUAUGGGGGGACCAUCCUCCAAGGCUAAAUACUCCUGACUGACCGAUAGUGAACCAGUACCGUGAGGGAAAGGCGAAAAGAACCCCGGCGAGGGGAGUGAAAAAGAACCUGAAACCGUGUACGUACAAGCAGUGGGAGCACCCUUUGGGUGUGACUGCGUACCUUUUGUAUAAUGGGUCAGCGACUUAUAUUCUGUAGCAAGGUUAACCGAAUAGGGGAGCCGGAGGGAAACCGAGUCUUAAUUGGGCGUUAAGUUGCAGGGUAUAGACCCGAAACCCGGUGAUCUAGCCAUGGGCAGGUUGAAGGUUGGGUAACACUAACUGGAGGACCGAACCGACUAAUGUUGAAAAAUUAGCGGAUGACCUGUGGCUGGGGGUGAAAGGCCAAUCAAACCGGGAGAUAGCUGGUUCUCCCCGAAAGCUAUUUAGGUAGCGCCUCGUGAAUUCAUCUCCGGGGGUAGAGCACUGUUUCGGCUAGGGGGCCAUCCCGGCUUACCAACCCGAUGCAAACUGCGAAUACCGGAGAAUGUUAUCACGGGAGACACACGGCGGGUGCUAACGUCCGUCGUGAAGAGGGAAACAACCCAGACCGCCAGCUAAGGUCCCAAAGUCAUGGUUAAGUGGGAAACGAUGUGGGAAGGCCCAGACAGCCAGGAUGUUGGCUUAGAAGCAGCCAUCAUUUAAAGAAAGCGUAAUAGCUCACUGGUCGAGUCGGCCUGCGCGGAAGAUGUAACGGGGCUAAACCAUGCACCGAAGCUGCGGCAGCGACACUGUGUGUUGUUGGGUAGGGGAGCGUUCUGUAAGCCUGUGAAGGUGUGUCGUGAGGCAUGCUGGAGGUAUCAGAAGUGCGAAUGCUGACAUAAGUAACGAUAAAGCGGGUGAAAAGCCCGCUCGCCGGAAGACCAAGGGUUCCUGUCCAACGUUAAUCGGGGCAGGGUGAGUCGACCCCUAAGGCGAGGCCGAAAGGCGUAGUCGAUGGGAAACGGGUUAAUAUUCCCGUACUUGGUGUUACUGCGAAGGGGGGACGGAGAAGGCUAUGUUGGCCGGGCGACGGUUGUCCCGGUUUAAGCGUGUAGGUGUGUGUUCCAGGUAAAUCCGGUUCACUUUAACACUGAGGCGUGACGACGAGGCACUACGGUGCUGAAGCAACAAAUGCCCUGCUUCCAGGAAAAGCCUCUAAGCAUCAGGUAACAUCAAAUCGUACCCCAAACCGACACAGGUGGUCAGGUAGAGAAUACCAAGGCGCUUGAGAGAACUCGGGUGAAGGAACUAGGCAAAAUGGUGCCGUAACUUCGGGAGAAGGCACGCUGACACGUAGGUGAAGUGAUUUACUCAUGGAGCUGAAGUCAGUCGAAGAUACCAGCUGGCUGCAACUGUUUAUUAAAAACACAGCACUGUGCAAACACGAAAGUGGACGUAUACGGUGUGACGCCUGCCCGGUGCCGGAAGGUUAAUUGAUGGGGUCAGCGCAAGCGAAGCUCCUGAUCGAAGCCCCGGUAAACGGCGGCCGUAACUAUAACGGUCCUAAGGUAGCGAAAUUCCUUGUCGGGUAAGUUCCGACCUGCACGAAUGGCGUAAUGAUGGCCAGGCUGUCUCCACCCGAGACUCAGUGAAAUUGAACUCGCUGUGAAGAUGCAGUGUACCCGCGGCAAGACGGAAAGACCCCGUGAACCUUUACUAUAGCUUGACACUGAACAUUGAGCCUUGAUGUGUAGGAUAGGUGGGAGGCUUUGAAGUGUGGACGCCAGUCUGCAUGGAGCCGACCUUGAAAUACCACCCUUUAAUGUUUGAUGUUCUAACGUGGACCCGUUACCCGGGUUGCGGACAGUGUCUGGUGGGUAGUUUGACUGGGGCGGUCUCCUCCUAAAGAGUAACGGAGGAGCACGAAGGUUGGCUAAUCCUGGUCGGACAUCAGGAGGUUAGUGCAAUGGCAUAAGCCAGCUUGACUGCGAGCGUGACGGCGCGAGCAGGUGCGAAAGCAGGUCAUAGUGAUCCGGUGGUUCUGAAUGGAAGGGCCAUCGCUCAACGGAUAAAAGGUACUCCGGGGAUAACAGGCUGAUACCGCCCAAGAGUUCAUAUCGACGGCGGUGUUUGGCACCUCGAUGUCGGCUCAUCACAUCCUGGGGCUGAAGUAGGUCCCAAGGGUAUGGCUGUUCGCCAUUUAAAGUGGUACGCGAGCUGGGUUUAGAACGUCGUGAGACAGUUCGGUCCCUAUCUGCCGUGGGCGCUGGAGAACUGAGGGGGGCUGCUCCUAGUACGAGAGGACCGGAGUGGACGCAUCACUGGUGUUCGGGUUGUCAUGCCAAUGGCACUGCCCGGUAGCUAAAUGCGGAAGAGAUAAGUGCUGAAAGCAUCUAAGCACGAAACUUGCCCCGA